UACGUAGGUGGCAAGCGUUGUCCGGAUUUAUUGGGUUUAAAGGGUGCGUAGGCGGCUUUGUAAGUCAGUGGUGAAAUAUGGCAGCUCAACUGUCAGGGUGCCAUUGAUACUGCGGAGCUUGAGUACAGAUGAGGUAGGCGGAAUUGAUGGUGUAGCGGUGAAAUGCUUAGAUAUCGUCAAGAACACCGAUAGCGAAGGCAGCUUACUGGGCUGUAACUGACGCUGAGGCACGAAAGUGUGGGGAUCAAACAGG
rnacentral:rRNA from 1 species